GCUGCACGUGGGAACCAGAGGGUCCCUUUCCCAGGGUUGAGGAGUCCUGCCUCAGCACCCUUUCAUCCCCUUGGUUCCUGCGUAGUAUUUCGUGAGUCUCGACUCUGGACGCCACUUGAGGUAAAUGUCUAGAAGGAGGAUUUCUGUGUCAUAUGGUUCUUUUAAAAAAAUUCUCACCAAACUAGGAAUUGAAGGGAACUCCUCAAUCUGCAGAAGGGCAUUUACAAAAACCUGCAGCUAACAUCAUUCUUAAAGGAACCGGUGUUGGUAGCUGGGGACUCACCCCUUCUCUGGCCCUCAUCGAGAGUCAACCCUGUGCCCAAGGGCUCUCCUUGGCCCUAGAGCUCCCUGGUAGCAGCUGAGUGAAGGGCCUGGCUGGGGAGGAGAUGAAGGGCCUUCUGCCGGCCGAGGCCCCAAGAGGCUCGGCUCCCCGAUGUCCAGGAUCACACGGGAGACCCCUCUAGAUGGGCUUGGACUGGUCCUGGAGGCCCGGGGUGUGCUACUGACUGGUGUACAGGCAUGGGCCGGAGCAGCCCAGAGGGGAGCCAGGAGAGGCUGUGGCCCUGAUCACACACCCCCCAGCCCCACGUCUGCUGUGACACCGGUUGCUCUGGGCCCAAGUACUCAGAGAUCGUGGGACUGAAAAACCACAGUAGAGUGGUCAGCCCCCAGGGACCGAGGGGCCCAAUCUCACAGCAUCUGCCCCACUGAGCUGCCCAGCAGGAGUCUCGGUCCUGGGCGAAUUACUCCUCCUGGCUCACCCCAGGGACUGGGGACUGAGGCUGGACCAAGGCUCCCACAUGCCCCCAGCAGUUUCUCACGGACAGGGCCUGAUGGCUUCCUUCCUCGUGCCAAGUCUCCUGGGAGUCCCUAUUCCUGGUGAUCCCUCCUCCAUUCCACCCCUGGCCACCCAGGACCACAUCUGGGAGCCCGCCAGCCUGCCGACUCCAUCCGUAGACCUCCGGGGACAGCCUCGGAGAAAGGAGAGCAACAGGGGCUGUGAAGGGUGGGAGGAGGACCAGGGGCCUUCUUGGGGAUGACACAGAGAUGGGCCCCUUUCAAGCCCAGGUCUCGCCCUCUCGGGGUGAGUCGAUCCCCAGCUGUAGCCUCUUCCUGGGCCAGCCGGGGAGGAGGAAGGCCUGAGAAUGGCAGGAGGGAGGCUGCUCACUGAAUGCGUGCUUGUGUCUCACAGGGAGAACUGUGCGUUUGAGCCUCAGGGGCCCCUGGCCUCACAGGCCCCCUCCUCUGCUGGGAAGCUGCACCGCAUCUGGAGGCUCCGUGGCUCUGGCUUUGGCUGUCUCUGCUCUAAGGGAAUGACUGGGGGAGGGGCCAGGGACCGGUCCUUAGCCUGUGUUCCUGCCACAGCUUGUCUUGCCAUUUUGGCCUUGAGUAGUGAGCUGCUUCUGCUUUCCCACCUCUCCCCAACCCCACUGGGCCCUGGCUGCUUGGCGGGCUCUCAGUGCACUUUAUUUAUUUGCAGUCUGUUCGGCAGGCAGCGGAACUUCUGCAAAAUCAGGGACCCCAGCCUGAGUAAGAUGGCUUUCAAUUUUCCGCGUGUGGUAACUCUGUACCGGUCAGAGGAAUGUUCUUGUUUCUGGUGUUGUCGAAUCUCGUUGUCUCUCUCAGUUAAGAAACAAGAAAGGAAAGAAAACCCUUAAGUUCA